UCUCUUCUCUUCUCUUCUCAUCGGCUUCAGUGUGAGAUCAAUGAGCUUCCCUUCUCCGUCUCUCAGCUUCUCAUCCCUCAUCCUCUCGUGCCGAUCUACAACUCCAGUGCGCACCAAUCUACAACUCCGCCGCCAUUAGCGUCCUCCAGCACAUCACUGUGAAGCUCCACCCACUCAAUUCCCUAAUCGCAGCGCCACGGUCUUGGUUUCUAGAGCUCUUCUCUCUUUCUCGUCCUCGUCACUGUGCUUAGGGGUUUGUGGGUGCAACGAUCGGAGUGCGUGCUUGGGGGCCUACAUCGGGGACUCCUGGGUGCCGUGUGCUUGCUUGGGUUGGGGCUAUUGUUCAUCGGGUUUGGAGUGGGCAUUCGGAUCUCCGGCGAGACGCAACACCGACGAGCGCUUCCUUGUUGCUACCAUGCCUUCCUUUAGUCCUUUUACCACCACAUGAAAGAAAUCUAUUUUGAUUUUCAUGUAUAGUUGCGUUUAAUAUUUUUAUUUUCUAAUUCAAGAAGUUCAUCAAAAUCUAUAAACUUCAA